UACGGAGGGAGCUAGCGUUGUUCGGAAUUACUGGGCGUAAAGCGCGCGUAGGCGGCGAUCUAAGUCAGGGGUGAAAGCCCGGGGCUCAACCUCGGAAUAGCCCUUGAGACUGGAUUGCUAGAAUCUGGGAGAGGUGAGUGGAAUUCCUAGUGUAGCGGUGAAAUGCGUAGAGAUUAGGAAGAACACCAGUGGCGAAGGCGAUUCUCUGGACUGUAAAUGACGCUGAGGCUCGAAAGCGUGGGGAGCAAACAGGAUUAGAUACCCCCGUAGU
rnacentral:rRNA from 1 species